AAGUCGUAACAAGGUUUCCGUAGGUGAACCUGCGGAAGGAUCAUUAACACAUUUUCUUUCAUUCUACAAACAUUGGCGCACUGGGAGCCACUGGCGGGAGUGUCGGCAGCGCAAUGGUUGGAUCUCUAGUUGUUUUCAAUAGGAGACGGCCUGCCGAAUAGUUACAAACCCAUAAGAGCCCCUUUCACAAUUGGACGCGGGCCAUGAGGAUGAGGUUCGAGCUCUACGCCUGUGGUAUAACAGCCUCUAACCUGGCUGGACCAUUUUUUUUAUUAUAUUGAAAGACCGUCUGAUGUGGUUUCAGAUCGAGAAACCAGACUCUUCUCUCUCGAGGGAUGAGCUUGGCUUUUCUCUGAGGCCAAAAGCAAUGGAGGAAUCCAUUUGUUUUACAAAUUAAACACAACUCUUAACAGCGGAUAUCUCGGUUCUC
rnacentral:misc_RNA from 1 species